rnacentral:rRNA from 1 species
UAACAGGAUUCCCCUAGUAACUGCGAGUGAAGCGGGAAAAGCUCAAAUUUAAAAUCUGGCGGUCUUCGGCCGUCCGAGUUGUAAUCUGGAGAAGCGUUUUCCGCGCUGGACCGUGUACAAGUCUCUUGGAACAGAGCGUCAUAGAGGGUGAGAAUCCCGUCUUUGACACGGACUACCAGUGCUAUGUGAUGCGCUCUCGAUGAGUCGAGUUGUUUGGGAAUGCAGCUCAAAAUGGGUGGUAAAUUCCAUCUAAAGCUAAAUAUUGGCGAGAGACCGAUAGCGAACAAGUACCGUGAGGGAAAGAUGAAAAGCACUUUGGAAAGAGAGUUAAACAGUACGUGAAAUUGCUGAAAGGGAAACGAUUGAAGUCAGUCGCGUGUGCUAGAACUCAGCCUUGCUUUUGCUUGGUGCAUUUUCUAGUGUACGGGCCAGCAUCAGUUUUGGCCGCCGGAAAAAGGCCUUGGGAAUGUGGCACCUUCGGGUGUGUUAUAGCCCUUGGUUGUAUACGGUGGCUGGGACUGAGGAACAUAGCAUGCCUUUACGGCGGGGCUUCGGCCACCUUCAUGCUUUGGAUGCUGGCGUAAUGGCUUUAAACGACCCGUCUUGAAACACGGACCAAGGAGUCUAACAUGCCUGCGAGUGUUUGGGUGGAAAACCCGAGCGCGUAAUGAAAGUGAAAGUUGGGACUUCUGUCGUGGAAGGCACCGACGCCCGGACCAGACCUUCUGUGACGGAUCCGCGGUAGAGCAUGUAUGUUGGGACCCGAAAGAUGGUGAACUAUGCCUGAAUAGGGUGAAGCCAGAGGAAACUCUGGUGGAGGCUCGUAGCGAUUCUGACGUGCAAAUCGAUCGUCAAAUUUGGG